GGGGAAUAUUGGGCAAUGGAGGAAACUCUGACCCAGCAACGCCGCGUGAAGGAAGAAGGUUUUCGGAUCGUAAACUUCUAUCCUUGGUGAAGAUAAUGACGGUAGCCAAGAAGGAAGCCCCGGCUAACUACGUGCCAGCAGCCGCGGUAAUACGUAGGGGGCAAGCGUUGUCCGGAAUGAUUGGGCGUAAAGGGCGCGUAGGCGGCCUGGUAAGUCUGGAGUGAAAGUCCUGCUUUUAAGGUGGGAAUUGCUUUGGAUACUGUCGGGCUUGAGUGCAGGAGAGGUAAGUGGAAUUCCCGGUGUAGCGGUGAAAUGCGUAGAGAUCGGGAGGAACACCAGUGGCGAAGGCGACUUACUGGACUGUAACUGACGCUGAGGCGCGAAAGUGUGGGGAGCAAAC
rnacentral:rRNA from 1 species